rnacentral:snoRNA from 1 species
GUCUUCUCAUGAGCUCCUCUCCGUCUCCAUGAUGGCGGUGUACGGAUUCGCACGAGAAGUAGAUAACCAGUGUGAGAGGUAGUUGCUUGCUUGUUUUGAUGGCACUAGCAACAUCUUUUAUGAAACACGA